GAGUCAGUUCCUAGCUGGGGGCCACAGGGCUGGUUGGUGGGUCCAGGUGAAGCUAUUGGUCAUCAGAAAUGCAGAAACCUGACUCGAAAGGCCAAUCUUUGGUUCUACAGUAGUGAUGUUAUCUGUCAGGAGUAAUUGGGGAAGUGGCAAGUCUUGUGACUUCUGGAAAAAUAGCUGCACUGAGAACAGGCAGCUCUGAGAACCACCUGAGUCGUCACCAUCUGGUACAAGUGCGCAGAUUGAGCCCAGCGUUUUGCCUCGACACAUUUUGAAGUGCAACUCACAGUGACUUCAUCUGCAUAACAUCAGGGCAUAGAGCUCUCCUCUUCCAGCGGAAAAGUUCAGUGACAUCAUUUGUGGAGAUUGAUUCACCACGGCAUAUCAAAGAGAAAAGAUGGGUGGCGAGAGCCCUGGUUUGUUUCGUUUUGAUGUUUGUUGUGAGCAGAAAGAGACGGGGUGAGGGUGCUGCAUGAGGGCGUUCGGGUCACCAGGAGGGCAGUGCAGCCCAUGUCCUGGAGGGCAAAUUUGUCUUUUGCUGAAACACAGCUGAGCUCAGCUGGGACAAACAAUACCCCUUAAUGUGUCUGAGAUUCUUUCCCCUGUUAGCUCUCCGGCAGAGGCAGCCACACAAAUGGGGCUUUCUGGAUUUUUCGCUGGCCUCCGGCUUCCAGGAGAGCCAUUCUCCACCCCCGGCGUAGUGGGUUGUAACUUCUGCCAGAUGAAACUGACAUUGCUUCCCAGCUCACCGGAACAAAAUCUGGCUCUUGGCCCAGAUGAACCGUCACUUUCCACUGACCAUUAUAAAAACAGGAAUGGCAUAUUUGCCUGGAGCCUGUCAGUGCUGAGUUUUGACUAAAGGAAUUUAUUUUAUCCUCUGUUGUCAUGGAGCUGUGGAAAUAGGAGCCUUCACAUGGGGCAUGCACAGGUGAAACCAUAAAGGCAGGCAGUGGUUUGAACUGAUGGCUCCUCUGACAUUCAAAUUCAGGCUCAGGAGGGCUCCUGCUUCUAACUCAGUCUCCAUAGAAAUCACGCCCCACAGACGGGCUCGGACGUGUCAAACCUCACCAAUGUGCUCACCAGCCUGGAGUAGACUCACCCCCUCUGCCAUAAACCUUUGUUUUCCCUUUUUCUCAUCCCUCACCCUCAUUUCCUUCAGACACACUCCAUUGCAUUUGACUGAUUUUGGUGAAGAAAUUUUUAAUGAGGUCUCAGAUUCCAAAGGGCUGUGGCUCCCUGAUACUAAAGGAACCCCCAUAUCUCUCUAACCUUUUCUCAAACCAGGGACAAAAUGAGAAUUCCAAGAUCCUCUCUGGAUCCUUGGACAAUU